rnacentral:tRNA from 3 species
GCCCGAGUAGCUCAGUUGGAUAGAGCAGCAGCCUUCUAAGCUGAAGGUCACAGGUUCGAUUCCUGUCCCGGGCACCA